AGAGUUUGAUCAUGGCUCAGGACGAACGCUGGCGGCGCGCCUAAAACAUGCAAGUCGAACGAGAAGCCCGGGCUUGCCCGGGUGGACAGUGGCGAACGGGUGAGUAACACGUGAGGAACCUGCCCCGAAGACCGGGACAACACCGGGAAACCGGUGCUAAUACCGGAUGCCUUCACCGGAUCGCAUGGUCUGGUGAAGAAAUGGAUUCCGCUUCGGGAUGGCCUCGCGGCCUAUCAGCUUGUUGGUGAGGUAACGGCUCACCAAGGCAACGACGGGUAGCUGGUCUGAGAGGAUGUCCAGCCACACUGGGACUGAGACACGGCCCAGACUCCUACGGGAGGCAGCAGUUAGGAAUCUUGCGCAAUGGACGAAAGUCUGACGCAGCGACGCCGCGUGCGGGAUGAAGGCCCUCGGGUUGUAAACCGCUUUCAGCAGGGACGAAAUUGACGGUACCUGCAGAAGAAGCCCCGGCCAACUACGUGCCAGCAGCGGCGGUAAUUC
rnacentral:rRNA from 1 species